GCACGGAGUUAGCCGGAGCUUACAAACGGUACCGUCAUCGCUGGUGAUGUUCGCACCAACUUAUUCUUCCCGUUCUUGCGAAGUUUACAUCCCGAGGGAUUUCAUCCUUCACGCGGCGUUGCUGGGUCAGGCUUUCGCCCAUUGCCCAAAAUUCCCGACUGCUGCCUCCCGUAGGAGUCUGACCCGUAUGUCAGUGUCAGUGUGGCCGACCGCCCUCUCAGGCCGGCUACGGAUCAUCGCCUUGGUAAGCCGUUACCUUACCAACUAGCUAAUCCGCCGCAGGCUCCUCUUUAGACGCGAGGUCUUUCGAUCCCCCGCUUUAACAACUGUCACCAUUAGGUGCCGCUGCAUUAUGCGGUAUUAGCAACCGUUUCCGAUUGUUAUUCCCCAUCCAAAGGUAGAUUACCUACGUGUUACUCACCCGUGCGCCACUCUACUUGCUCCCCGAAGGGAACUUUCGCGUUCGACUUGCAUGUCUGAGGCACGCCGCCAGCGUUGAUU
rnacentral:rRNA from 1 species